UCAAAUGCUUUUAAAGGACAGUGACUUUUUAAUGGUUCUAAACUCUACUAACCAGGACAGAGCAUCUGCUAGCUAAUUCACACUGCAUGAUUUUAUGUCGCAGCCUCCCCCUUCCCAUCCCUCUGUUUCAUUUGUCAUUGUUUAAGGCCCCGAUCCUGCUCAUGCUUACUUUUACAUGUGUGAGCCAGCCCCAUGGAAUGCAGUGGGAGUACUCACAUGCUUAAAGUGAAAUGUGUGCAUAAACCUUUGCAGCCUUGAGGCCUAAGAUUUGAAGUUUUUUGGUGCAGGGAUCUUGUUUUCCUUAUGUCACUAAAGCAUCGUGCAGAUUUAUCGUGUUACAAAAUAAUAAUAAUAGACCCAGGACGAGGAACACACUUUAUUUUACAAAUACUAAGAAAAUAGACUCUUCAUAUAUAUUUGUCCUUCUGAACAUAAAAUAUAAAACCAGCACUGAGUACCAGUGAUAUCUUAGGGGCAGACAGUAACAUUAGGGUGAAAAUAACCUUGAAUAUCUUCUUUGGAUUUAGAAAAAGAGGUCUCAUGGCAUAGGGAAGGUAUUGAUUGGGAGGUUGUUUCAUAAGUAUCAUUGAUCUGUUACAAAUGCAAAGCAAGGAGCAGGCUGUGACAGUGGGGAUAUUGAUGGUUAGUAAUUUUCAAAAAUUCAAGAAGUAACAUUACAAGCUAUAGUAUCAUUAUAACCUUUUCGGGUAUGAAAGUAAAUAGUAAAUAGAAGGGGCGGGGCCUCAGGUGGAAGGAGCAGGGCUGGGGGUCAGCCUCCCUCAGCCAGCCCGUCUACGCUACCUGGCCCUUGCCACCUAAGGGCUCUGGAGGCAAUUUAAACUGGCCCGGGGCUCUGGCUGCUGCUGCCAAUGCUGCCAUAGUAGAUUCUCCAUCACCCACCAUUUUUAGAUCAAAAUGGCCCCAGGGCAGCUGCCCCUUUUGCCCCCCUCCACUCUCUGUUGGCGGCCCGGGGGGGCAAAAGAGGCAACGGCAUUAAAGUGCUGCCGCAGCGCUUUAACAUCGCCGCCCCUUUGGCCCCCUCCCCUCUUGACAGGGAGGGCAAAAGGGGCAGCGAUGUUAAAGUGCUGUCGGUUGUGUAUGGGCCGGUACCGGCUUCUCACCGGUACGCUGUACCGGCCUGUACCAACCCCUGAACCUGAUCCAACUCUCAUUGCAGUCAAUGCAAAGACUCCCAAUGAUUUCAACAGAAGUUGGAUUGUAGUCCAAAAUAGUAAUACUCAUAGAGGUAGUGGACUAGCAUCUAACAACCAACCAGAAUUUCCAAAAAUACCCAUCAGUAUCAGAAAGUUAACGUCUUCACUGGGCUCAGAGCCCAAUUCAAAGCCCACUGGAGUCUUCCCAUGGAAUGUUGUUGGAGCUGGAUCAGGACAUGAGUGCCCACUUAUGGUUCAAGCAUGUUUACAGAUCCAUAUUAUAAGGCCGGAAGGGACUGCUGUGAUCUAGUCUGUUACACUUUUGUCCUGCACUAUUGAUAUGCAGCUAUUUGUUCUCAGAUAAAACAUUGCUGGAUACUCAGAAAAGAAAAUGUCAGUUUCUAAAAAUAAAUAAAUGAAUAAAAAGGUUGUUGCUGGAACCUAAUUGAUUGGACGUCAGAGUUCAAAAUAUUUGUGCACGUGGACCAAAUCUGUAAGGUGCUCAGCACUAGAGCUCAUCAAAAUGUUUACAGUGAAAAGGUAUUCAUUAGAAAAUGCCCUUCUUUUUCAUAGAAAGUGUUCACAAAGACCCUUUGAUAUUUUUCAAAACUUUUCAUUCUUUUCUUUUGGGGCUUUUUGAGUGUUUUCUGUUUCUUGUUGCUGUUGGUGAACUAUUUUCCUCUUUCUUUGGCCAUUUUCCUUUUAAAAAUGGCAGAAACGCUGUUUUCUUGUCCUAUCAUUUUUAAUUUCCAUUGAGAAAAUGGGAAAAGUUUCAAUAGAAAGUUUUAUGAAAAAAUCAAACCCUUGGGGGGGAAAUGAAAUUUUUGUGAGAUUCAUUCUUUCCCUUUUUCUGAUCACCUUCAACUGCAAUGACUUUCAGGGGGAGUUGAGGACACACAGCAACUUGCAGAGAGUACUCAGCAUGAAAGUUGGACUGGGCCAUACAUGAGGGCAACUCUGGAAGAGUGACUCGUUGUGCAAAUACUCACGCAAACUUCAGCGACAGGAAAACAGGCUAUUUCCUAGAUCUUUUCUGCCUCCAAUUCCCAUGUGUUCAAGAAUCGUUAAUCAGGUGCCAAGGACACUGGUGCUUCAUCCCCCCAGGAGCCUGGAGAUGUCUGUUAGCGUGAGUGACAGCGUGGAAUGUCUGCUAUUUCCCUGCAUUGCAUGGCUCAGAGGGGCCUGAUUUGGUUACACUGCGACCUUCUGUGCCAGC